AUUGAACGCUGGCGGCAGGCCUAACACAUGCAAGUCGAACGAGUGGCGGACGGGUGAGUAAUGUCUGGGAAACUGCCUGAUGGAGGGGGAUAACUACUGGCAACGGUAGCUAAUACCGCAUACCAUCAGAUGUGCCCAGAUGGGAUUAGCUAGUUGGUGGGGUAACGGCUCACCAAGGAGACGAUCCCUAGCUGGUCUGAGAGGAUGACCAGACACACUGAAACGGAGACACGGUCCAGACUCCUACGGGAGACAGCAGUGGGGAAUUUGGCACAAUGGGCGCAAGCCUGACAGAGACAUGCCGCGUGUAUGAAGAAGGCCUUCGGGUUAUAAAGUACUUUCAGCGGGGAGGCGUUACCCGCAGAAGAAGCACCGGCUAACUCCGUGCCAGCAGCCGCGGUAAUUC
rnacentral:rRNA from 1 species